CCUACGGGAGGCAGCAGUGGGGGAUAUUGCACAAUGGGGGAAACCCUGAUGCAGCAACGCCGCGUGUGGGAAGAAGGUUUUCGGAUUGUAAACCACUGUUCUUGGUGAAGAUAAUGACGGUAACCAAGCAGAAAGCUCCGGCUAACUACGUGCCAGCAGCCGCGGUAAUACGGAGGGAGCAAGCGUUGUCCGGAUGUACUGGGUGUAAAGGGUGCGUAGGCGGUCUUGCAAGUCAGACGUGAAAAGCACAGGCUCAACCUGUGGACUGCGUUUGAAACGGUGGGGCUUGAGUGAAGUAGAGGUAGGCGGAAUUCCUGGUGUAGCGGUGAAAUGCGUAGAGAUCAGGAGGAACACCAGUGGCGAAGGCGGCCUACUGGGCUUUAACUGACGCUGAUGCUCGAAAGCGCGGGUAUCGAACAGGAUUAGAUACCCCUGUAGUC
rnacentral:rRNA from 1 species